GCCCCCGUAGCCCAAUGGUAGGGCGUCAGACUUCUAAUCUGAAGGUUGCGGGUUCGAGCCCCGCCGGGGGUG
rnacentral:tRNA from 5 species